AUUCCCUUUCGCUAAUGUUUCCAGACGCACAUCGUAUGUUGCACUCAGCCCCGUCCACACCUCGUGCAAAUGUUUCGUCGCACUGACCACGUUCAGCAAGCGAACCAAAAGCAUCCUAUGUUCGCAGCAGCUGCAUUCCAACGCGACCCCAUGCCUAGAAAAACUAAAAGAUACCCUGCACGUUGCUGUGGGAACCACUAUAAAACCUAUCGGAAAUUUUGGCUUAUAGAACUAUCUUUUCAAGGAAAAAAGGAUUUACAAAACCUGUAAUAUAGUUACAUGAAGCAAUUUAGUAAUCCUCCUCAACUGUUCCACAUAAAAAGAAGUGACAUUCUCAUAAGCCAUCCCAGGAGAUGAGAUAACGUGUUUACAAAGUAAAAUGGAUGGAAGCAUACCAUGAAUCAAGUAUUGUACGUGCCCAAUGUUAACCUGACAUACCGCUCAAAAAAGAUGAACAUUAAAC
rnacentral:lncRNA from 1 species